rnacentral:rRNA from 1 species
AUGAACGCUGGCGGCGUGUCUAAGGCAUGCAAGUCGAAUGCCUUGUAGCAAUGCAAGGCAUGGCAAACGGGAGAGUAACACAUUGGUAAUCUACCUCGAGGACGAGCAUAACCCUGCGAAAGCGGGAAUAAUACUCGAUAAUAGUGAGGGGGCAAAAGCCAUUCUCACUUAAAACUCAGGUGCCUCGAGAGGAACCUAUGGCUUAUCAGCUUGUUGGUGAGGUAAUGGCUCACCAAGGCUACGACGAGUAACGGGUGUGAGAGCAUGACCCGUCUCACUGGGACUGAGACACUGCCCAGACUCCUACGGGAGGCUGCAGUCAAGAAUCUUCCUCAAUGGCCGAAAGGCUGAAGGAGCGACGCCGCGUGCAUGAAGAAGCCCUUCGGGGUGUAAAAUGCUUUUAACUGGGACGAAUCAAUGACGGUACCAGUUGAAUAAGGGGCUGCUAACCUCGU